AUUUCACAACAAUGACAACAAUGAUCGGUUUCCAGUUAGCUCUAGUUUGUCCUCAGACAUUAAUGACCGCUAAUCCGAAAUGACCACAGUUGAAAUGUGGCAGGCCAUGCAAUUGACGCUUAUGCUUGAGUUUGAGGGGGGAUAUAUUCAGAGAAACCGGUUGAUGGAUGUGAUCUCUGCCCUUAUAUUGUUUCAAAAACGUACUUU
ensembl:ncRNA F25F6.4 ncRNA